AUGCUUCGGGAGAUCCUCAUGCGCCUGCCGCCUCAGCCGUCCUCCCUCCUGCGAGCCUCCGCCGUGUGCAAGCGCUGGCGUCGCGUCACCACCGACCCCCGGUUCCUCUGCAGCUUCUCUGUCCACCACCGCAAGCCGCCACUCCUCGGCGUCUUUGAGAGAGAUGGCUACGACAUCGUGUUCACUCCGGUCCUGGACCCUCCCGACCGCAUCCCUCCGGAGCGCUUCAACACACUACAUCAGAUACGUGGCUUCCGGAAGGCCGACCUACUCGGCUGCCGCCAAGGCCGCAUCCUCCUCCUGGAGAUGGACUGGUUCAUUGUAUGGGACCCCAUCACCGGCGAGCAUCACCAUGUCGACAUUCCACCAGCGUUCGAUAAGUUAUCCUACCUCUAUGGGGCUGUGCUCUGCGCUGCCACUGACCAGAGCCACAUGCAUGGCAGUUGCCACUCGAGCCCCUUUAAUUUGGUCUUGAUGUCCCCGUGCCAAGGCUACGAAGAUGGUACUCCACCCAUCGCUUGUGUAUACUCCUCGGAGACUGGGGUAUGGGGCAAUCCCAUCUCGACAACAAAUCGAUGUGAGUUUGCUCGAUGUAAUCCUGGGGUCCUUGUUGGUAAUGUCCUCUACUGGACGUCUAAGAGUGUGAAUGCCAAAUCAAAAUAUUUGAAUUUGGAUCAGCUCGGAGACGACAUAAUUGAGUUCGAUUUGGAUAAGCAGAGUCUUGCUGUGAUCAAGGGGCCUCCAGGUCUUAAUCAUUCCACCACACAUCAGAUAAUCCAGUCAGGGGAUUGUGAUGUUGGUCUUGCCAUAUUGUCUCACGGUAGAUUUGAAAUGUGGGAGAGGAAGGUCAGCUGUCACGGUGGUGCCACAUGGUUCCUGCAGAAGAUUGUUGAAAUGCAUACUGUUCUUGGGCUCCCUCCUCAGGCUGAAGGAUCGGUGAGAGCGGUCGAAAUACUUGGGUAUGAUGAGGAAAAUGGUGCAAUGUUUUUAUUUGUGGACAACAAUGUCUACAUGGUUGAAGCAAUGUCAAUGCAAUCCAUGAAACUUUAUCAAUGCAGUCAUCACAGCUAUGCCAAUGACAUUCAUCCUUUCACAAGUUUCUAUGCACCAGGUGACUGCUCAUCAUUAUUCCUUGUGUUUUGGUAG
rnacentral:rRNA from 1 species